rnacentral:snoRNA from 1 species
UCCUCGACGGUCGCCGCGCAGUUUGAGCCUCCGUAACUGUGCGGCAACAUUUCGGGAAAAUACACGG